GUUCCAAAGGUCUGCAUCAGUGUCUUGUAGGCUAUGUGUAUUAGCCAGGAGAUGCUAAAUGUGUUUAUGUUAAUUCACGGUCAAUUACUGUCAAUAACCGUGAGACCGGCAGUUAUUUGCUUGACAAUCACCGGCUGAUGACUGCCACAGCCCUAUCCACGCAUUAACCCUAUCCCUGAUUAACCCUACGAUAUUUGUUGUUUUAGCCUAGCAUUAGUGUAGCAUUGCAUUUUUUGUCCACCAGUAGUUACUGUAGGUAGUUAGAAUGCAGGUAUUUUCACUACAUUAGUAGUUAGAAUGCAGGUAUUUUCACUACAUUUGUAGUUAGAAUGCAGGUAUUUUCACUACAUUAGUAGUUACAAUGCAGGUAUUUUCACUACAUUAGUAGUUACAAUGCAGGUAUUUUCACUACAUUAGUAGUUACAAUGCAGGUAUUUUCACUACAUUAGUAGUUACAAUGCAGGUAUUUUCACUACAUUAGUAAUUACAAUGCAGGUAUUUUCACUACAUUAGUAGUUAGAAUGCAGGUAUUUUCACUACAUUAGUAGUUAGAAUGCAGGUAUUUUCACUACAUCAGUAGUUACAAUGCAGGUAUUGUCACUACAUUAGUAGUUACAAUGCAGGUAUUUUCACUACAUUAGUAGUUACAAUGCAGGUAUUUUCACUACAUUAGUAGUUAGAAUGCAGGUAUUUUCACUACAUUAGUAGUUAGAAUGCAGGUAUUUUCACUACAUUAGUACUUAGAAUGCAGGUAUUUUCACUACAUUAGUAGUUAGAAUGCAGGUAUUUUCACUACAUUAGUAGUUACAAUGCAGGUAUGUUCACUACAUUAGUAGUUAGAAUGCAGGUAUUUUCACUACAUUAGUAGUUAGAAUGCAGGUAUUUUCACUACAUUAUUAGUUAUAAUGAAGGUAUUUUCACUACAUUAGUAGUUACAAUGCAGGUCUAGUUACAAUGUUAAUAUUUUCACUAAAUUAAUAGUUAGACUGCAGGUUAGAAAGAGACUGUUAUGUCAUGCCAUGUUCAACGUUUACUCAAGGCCUUGCUUUGGUUAGUGCACUGUAAAGUCCUUGUAUUGACUAACCUGUGCCCCCGCACAUUGACUCUGUACUGGUACCCCCUGUAUAUAGCAUCGCUACUGUUAUUUUACUGCUGCUCUUUAAUUGUUUGUUAUUGAAUUUUUUACUUCACUUAUUUUUCUUAAAACUGCAUUGUUGGUUAAGGGCUUGUAAGUAAGGAUUUCACUGUAAGGUCUAAACCGGUUUUAUUUGGCGCAUGUGACAAAUAAAAUUAGAUCUGUUUUGAUUUCAGCCUUGGAACUAGAAACACACAGGGACAAGCUGUUUUCUAUGGGGUCUUUGUGGCUGUGCUCUGUCUGCUUGAUAGAUGAUAUGGGAGUGGCUCUUAUAGACCACAUGGGGAUUCAAGGCAGAUGCAUUCCCUCCAGAACCAUCAACUGUUUUAGCCUCAAUUUCCUCCCAACCCCAUCUUCCAAAAUACAUGAAAUCUUAUCAAGUAAAACAUUCCUAAAGAUUAACCUAGUAUGCACACCUGCCUUUUUAUCAACAAGAAGAGACAGGUGUGUGGGUUUAGGGGUGGUAGUGGUUGGUGUGUGUGUACAAUACUAGUCUGUACAUUUCUUUGUGUUGGUGUUAUUCACACAUACUGAUUGGUUGGAUGCUUAUUAAACCUAUACUACACUGA